rnacentral:rRNA from 1 species
UACAGAGGUCUCAAGCGUUGUUCGGAUUCAUUGGGCGUAAAGGGUGCGUAGGUGGCGCUGUAAGUCGGGUGUGAAAUUUCGAGGCUUAACCUCGAAACUGCAUUCGAUACUGCGUGCUUGAGGACUGGAGAGGAGACUGGAAUUCAUCGGUGUAGCAGUGAAAAUGCGUAGAGAUCAUGAGGAAGACCAGUGGCGAAGGCGGGUCGUCUGGACAGUUCCUGACACUGAGGCACGAAGGCCAGGGGAGCAAACGGG